UGGGGAAUUUUGGACAAUGGGGGAAACCCUGAUCCAGCCAUCCCGCGUGUGCGAUGAAGGCCUUCGGGUUGUAAAGCACUUUCGGCAGGAAAGAAACGUCGCGGGUUAAUACCCCGCGGAACUGACGGUACCUGCAGAAUAAGCACCGGCUAACUACGUGCCAGCAGCCGCGGUAAUACGUAGGGUGCAAGCGUUAAUCGGAAUUACUGGGCGUAAAGCGUGCGCAGGCGGUUCGGAAAGAAAGAUGUGAAAUCCCAGAGCUUAACUUUGGAACUGCAUUUUUAACUACCGGGCUAGAGUGUGUCAGAGGGAGGUGGAAUUCCGCGUGUAGCAGUGAAAUGCGUAGAUAUGCGGAGGAACACCGAUGGCGAAGGCAGCCUCCUGGGAUAACACUGACGCUCAUGCACGAAAGCGUGGGGAGCAAACAGGAUUAGAUACCCUGGUAGUCCACGCCCUAAACGAUGUCAACUAGCUGUUGGGGUCUUCGGACCUUGGUAGCGCAGCUAACGCGUGAAGUUGACCGCCUGGGGAGUACGGUCGCAAGAUUAAAACUCAAAGGAAUU
rnacentral:rRNA from 1 species